rnacentral:rRNA from 1 species
CCUACGGGAGGCAGCAGUGGGGAAUAUUGGGCAAUGGAGGAAACUCUGACCCAGCGACGCCGCGUGAGGGAUGAAGGCCUUCGGGUUGUAAACCUCUUUCAGUAGGGAAGAAGCGAAAGUGACGGUACCUACAGAAGAAGCACCGGCUAACUAUGUGCCAGCAGCCGCGGUAAUACAUAGGGUGCAAGCGUUGUCCGGAAUUAUUGGGCGUAAAGAGCUCGUAGGUGGUUCGAUACGUCGGAUGUGAAAAUCAGGGGCUCAACCCCUGACCUGCAUUCGAUACGGUCGAGCUAGAGUGUGGUAGGGGAGACUGGAAUUCCUGGUGUAGCGGUGGAAUGCGCAGAUAUCAGGGGGAACACCGAUGGCGAAGGCAGGUCUCUGGGCCAUUACUGACACUGAGGAGCGAAAGCGUGGGGAGCGAACAGGAUUAGAUACCCUGGUAGUCCACGCCGUAAACGGUGGGCGCUAGUUGUGCGAACCUUCCACGGUUUGUGCGACGCAGCUAACGCAUUAAGCGCCCCGCCUGGGGAGUACGAUCGCAAGAUUAAAACUCAAAGGAAUUGACGG